rnacentral:rRNA from 1 species
UAGGGAAUAUUGCUUAAUGGGCGCAAGCCUGAAGCAGCAACGCCGCGUGUGCGAUGACGGCCUUCGGGUUGUAAAGCACUUUUAGGUGGGAAGAGGAAGGACGGUACCACCUGAAUAAGCCUCGGCUAACUACGUGCCAGCAGCCGCGGUAAAACGUAGGAGGCGAGCGUUAUCCGGAUUUACUGGGUGUAAAGCGCGUGCAGGCGGUUCGUUAAGUUGGAUGUGAAAGCUCCCGGCUCAACUGGGAGAGGUCGUACAAGACUGGCGGACUGGAGUGUGGUAGGGGAAGGUGGAAUUCCGGGUGUAGUGGUGAAAUGCGUAGAUAUCCGGAGGAACACCAGUGGCGAAGGCGGCCUUCUAGACCACAACUGACGCUCAGACGCGAAAGCUAGGGUAGCAAACGGGAUUAGAGACCCCGGUAGUCCUAGCCGUAAACGAUGUGAACUUGGCGGCGGUUGGGUAAAACCGAUCGGUGCCGAAGCAAACGCGAUAAGUUCACCACCUGGAGACUACGGCCGC